rnacentral:rRNA from 1 species
GACGAACGCUGGCGGCGUGCUUAACACAUGCAAGUCGAACGGAAAGGCCCUGCUUUUGUGGGUUGCUCGAGUGGCGAACGGGUGAGUAACACGUGAGUAACCUGCCCUUGACUUUGGGAUAACUUCAGGAAACUGGGGCUAAUACCGGCUAGGAGCUCCUGCUGCAUGGUGGGGGUUGGAAAGUUUCGGCGGUUGGGGAUGGACUCGCGGCUUAUCAGCUUGUUGGUGGGGUAGUGGCUUACCAAGGCUUUGACGGGUAGCCGGCCUGAGAGGGUGACCGGCCACAUUGGGACUGAGAUACGGCCCAGACUCCUACGGGAGGCAGCAGUGGGGAAUAUUGCACAAUGGGCGGAAGCCUGAUGCAGCAACGCCGCGUGCGGGAUGACGGCCUUCGGGUUGUAAACCGCUUUCGCCUGUGACGAAGCGUGAGUGACGGUAAUGGGUAAAGAAGCACCGGCUAACUACGUG